rnacentral:rRNA from 1 species
GUGGGGAAUUUUGGACAAUGGGCGCAAGCCUGAUCCAGCAAUGCCGCGUGCAGGAAGAAGGCCUUCGGGUUGUAAACUGCUUUUGUACGGAACGAAACGGUCCUGGCUAAUAUCCGGGGCUAAUGACGGUACCGUAAGAAUAAGCACCGGCUAACUACGUGCCAGCAGCCGCGGUAAUACGUAGGGUGCGAGCGUUAAUCGGAAUUACUGGGCGUAAAGCGUGCGCAGGCGGUGAUGUAAGACAGGCGUGAAAUCCCCGGGCUCAACCUGGGAAUUGCGCUUGUGACUGCAGUUCUGGAGUGCGGCAGAGGGAGAUGGAAUUCCGCGUGUAGCAAUGAAAUGCGUAGAUAUGCGGAGGAACACCGAUGGCGAAGGCAAUCCCCUGGGCCUGCACUGACGCUCAUGCACGAAAGCGUGGGGAGCAAACAGGAUUAGAUACCCCGGUAGUCC